rnacentral:rRNA from 1 species
GACGAACGCCGGCGGCGUGCCUAAUACAUGCAAGUAGAACGCUGAAGGAGGAGCUUGCUUCUCGGGUUGAGUUGCGAACGGGUGAGUAACGCGUAGGUAACCGCCUGGUAGCGAGGGAUAACUAUUGGAAACGAUAGCUAAUACCGCAUAAGAGUAGAUGUUGCAUGACAUUUGCUUAAAAGGUGCAAUUGCAUCACUACCAGAUGGACCUGCGUUGUAUUAGCUAGUUGGUGGGGUAACGGCUCACCAAGGCGACGAUACAUAGUCGACCUGAGAGGGUGAUCGGCCACACUGGGACUGAGACACGGCCCAGACUCCUACGGGAGGCAGCAGUAGGGAAUCUUCGGCAAUGGACGGAAGUCUGACCGAGCAACGCCGCGUGAGUGAAGAAGGUUUUCGGAUCGUAAAGCUCUGUUGUAAGAGAAGAACGAGUGUGAGAGUGGAAAGUUCACACUGUGACGGUAUCUUACCAGAAAGGGACGGCUAACUACGUGCCAGCAGCCGCGGUAAUACGUAGGUGGCAAGCGUUAUCCGGAUUUAUUGGGCGUAAAGAGAGUGCAGGCGGUUUUCUAAGUCUGAUGUGAAAGCCUUCGGCUUAACCGGAGAAGUGCAUCGGAAACUGGAUAACUUGAGUGCAGAAGAGGGUAGUGGAACUCCAUGUGUAGCGGUGGAAUGCGUAGAUAUAUGGAAGAACACCAGUGGCGAAGGCGGCUACCUGGUCUGCAACUGACGCUGAGACUCGAAAGCAUGGGUAGCGAACAGG